rnacentral:tRNA from 1 species
GCAGCGGUGGUUCAGUGGUAGAAGCUUCACCUUCCAUGUGGAGACCUGGGUUCAAUUCCCAGUUAAUGCA